CUGUCUCUUGCUUCAACAGUGUUUGCACGGAACAG
rfam:Myotis brandtii contig222905, whole genome shotgun sequence.